rnacentral:tRNA from 1 species
GGUUAGGUAGCUUAGUUGGUAGAGCACUCGUCUAUCAUACAAGAGCCGCGGAUUCCACUUUCCCAUUUUGACUA